GACGAACGCUAGCGGCAGGCCUAAUACAUGCAAGUCGAACGGUGUCUUCGGACAUAGUGGCGCACGGGUGCGUAACACGUAUGCAACCUACCUUACAUUGGGGGAUAGCCUUUCGAAAGGGAGAUUAAUACCGCAUAAGACAGUAGCUGGGCAUCCAGCAGCUGUUAAGAUUUAUCGAUGUAAGCUGGGCAUGCAUCCAAUUAGCUAGGUGGUGAGGUAACGGCUCACCAAGGCAAUGAUUGGUAGGGGAACUGAGAGGUCAAUCCCCCACACAGGCACUGGGAGACGGGCCAGACUCCUGUGGGAGGCAGGAGUAGGGAAUAUUGGGCAAUGGGCGCAAGUCUGACCCGGCCAUGCCGCGUGCAGGAUGAAGGCGUUAUGCGUUGUAAACUGCUUUUAUACAGGAAGAAACGACUCUUGCGAGAGGCAUUGACGGUACUGUAUGAAUAAGCACCGGCUAACUCCGUGCCAGCCGCCGCCGUAAGAC
rnacentral:rRNA from 1 species